AAAUAAGAAAGUAAAAACACAAUUUCGGUUGGUAGUCCGAAUGUAUUAAUAUAUCAGUAACCUUCCUCCUAGGAUGUCCAUCUUUCUUAAAAGCAAU
rfam:Lactobacillus animalis strain 381-IL-28 NODE_17_length_135193_cov_29.770218, whole genome shotgun sequence.